rnacentral:rRNA from 1 species
UAGUCCACGCCGUAAACGAUGUCAACUAGCCGUUGGAUUCCUUGAGGAUUUAGUGGCGCAGCUAACGCAAUAAGUUGACCGCCUGGGGGAGUACGGCCGCAAGGUUAAAACUCAAAUGAAUUGACGGGGGCCCGCACAAGCGGUGGAGCAUGUGGUUUAAUUCGACGCAACGCGAAGAACCUUACCAGGUCUUGACAUCCUGCGAACUUUCUAGAGAUAGAUUGGUGCCUUCGGGAACGCAGUGACAGGUGCUGCAUGGCUGUCGUCAGCUCGUGUCGUGAGAUGCUGGGUUAAGUCCCGCAACGAGCGCAACCCUUGUCUUUAGUUGCCAGUCAUUUAGUUGGGCACUCUAGAGAAACUGCCGGUGACAAACCGGAGGAAGGUAAGGAUGACGUCAAGUCAGCAUGCCCCUUACGCUCUGGGCUACACACGUGCUACAAUGGUCGUGACAAAGAGUUGCUAGUCUGCGAAGGCAAAGCCAAUCUCAUAAAACGCGGCCUUAGUUC